rnacentral:rRNA from 1 species
UACGAGGGGGGCAAGCGUUGUUCGGAAUUAUUGGGCGUAAAGGGCGCGUAGGCGGUGCGGUAAGUCACCUGUGAAAACUCUGGGCUCAACUCAGAGCCUGCAGGCGAAACUGCCGUGCUUGAGUGUGGGAGAGGUGCGUGGAAUUCCCGGUGUAGCGGUGAAAUGCGCAGAUAUCGGGAGGAACACCAGUAGCGAAGGCGGCACUCUGGGCCGGAACUGACGCUGAGGAGCGAAAGCGUGGGGAGCGAACAGG